CCCAGGUGUGGCAGGAGCUUUUACCUGCUCUUCGGCAGUAGCCGGCUGCCACUCAACCCCGUGCCUGGGUUGUCCUCAUCUAAUCCGUCAGUACCAGACAGUGAACAUCUCUCCCCCAGGAUGCUGAGGGAGGGUGCUGGAGGGAAGGAUGUGGAACUACAGCCUCUGCUCUCAAGAAGCUCAGAUCUGGGCAGGGAACAUCACAUACCAGGGCUGUCGGGGGGUGGAGGGCUGGGGGAGGGAUAGCAUUAGGGGAAAUACCUAAUGUAAAUGACAAGUUGAUGGGUGCAGCAAACCAACAUGGCACACGUAUACCUAUGUAACAAACCUGCAUGUUGUGCACAUGUACCCUAGAACUUAAAGUAUAAU
rnacentral:lncRNA from 1 species